GGGGAAUAUUGCGCAAUGGGGGCAACCCUGACGCAGCCAUGCCGCGUGAAUGAAGAAGGCCUUCGGGUUGUAAAGUUCUUUCGGUAGCGAGGAAGGCAUUUAGUUUAAUAGACUAGGUGAUUGACGUUAACUACAGAAGAAGCACCGGCUAACUCCGUGCCAGCAGCCGCGGUAAUACGGAGGAUGCGAGCGUUAUCCGGAUUUAUUGGGUUUAAAGGGUGCGUAGGCGGCCUGUUAAGUCAGCGGUGAAAUCUAGGAGCUUAACUCCUAAAUUGCCAUUGAUACUGGCGGGCCUGAGUGUAGAUGAGGUAGGCGGAAUGCGUGGUGUAGCGGUGGAAUGCAUAGAUAUCACGCAGAACUCCGAUUGCGAAGGCAGCUUACUAAGGUACAACUGACGCUGAAGCACGAAAGCGUGGGUAUCAAACAGGAUUAGAUACCCUGGUAGUCCACGCCGUAAACGAUGAGCACUAGGUGUCGGGGUCGCAAGACUUCGGUGCCGCAGUUAACGCAUUAAGUGCUCCGCCUGGGGAGUACGCACGCAAGUGUA
rnacentral:rRNA from 1 species